CUACGGAGGGUGCAAGCGUUGUUCGGAAUUAUUGGGCGUAAAGAGCAUGUAGGCGGACUAUUAAGUCUGGUGUGAAAGCCCGGGGCUCAACCCCGGAAGUGCAUUGGAUACUGGUAGUCUUGAGUAUGGGAGAGGAAAGUGGAAUUCCGAGUGUAGGAGUGAAAUCCGUAGAUAUUCGGAGGAACACCAGUGGCGAAGGCGGCUUUCUGGACCAAUACUGACGCUGAGAUGCGAAAGCGUGGGGAGCGAACAGGAUUAGAAACCCCAGUAGUCC
rnacentral:rRNA from 1 species